rnacentral:rRNA from 1 species
GAUGAACGCUGGCGGCGUGCCUAAUACAUGCAAGUCGAGCGAAUGGAUUAAGAGCUUGCUCUUAUGAAGUUAGCGGCGGACGGGUGAGUAACACGUGGGUAACCUGCCCAUAAGACUGGGAUAACUCCGGGAAACCGGGGCUAAUACCGGAUAACAUUUUGAACCGCAUGGUUCGAAAUUGAAAGGCGGCUUCGGCUGUCACUUAUGGAUGGACCCGCGUCGCAUUAGCUAGUUGGUGAGGUAACGGCUCACCAAGGCAACGAUGCGUAGCCGACCUGAGAGGGUGAUCGGCCACACUGGGACUGAGACGCGGCCCAGACUCCUACGGGAGGCAGCAGUAGGGAAUCUUCCGCAAUGGACGAAAGUCGGACGGAGCAACGCCGCGUGAGUGAUGAAGGCUUUCGGGUCGUAAAACUCUGUUGUUAGGGAAGAACAAGUGCUAGUUGAAUAAGCUGGCACCUUGACGGUACCUAACCAGAAAGCCACGGCUAACUACGUGCCAGCAGCCGCCGUAA